GUGCCCAGAUCUAAGGAAUAGCCACUGGAAACGGUGAGUAAUACCUUAUACGCCCUUCGGGGAAAGAUUUAUCGGAUUUGGAUCGGCCCGCGUUAGAUUAGGUAGUUGGUGGGGUAACGGCCUACCAAGCCUACGAUCUAUAGCUGGUUUUAGAGGAUGAUCAGCAACACUGGGACUGAGACACGGCCCAGACUCCUACGGGAGGCAGCAGUGGGGAAUCUUGGACAAUGGGCGCAAGUGAUCCAGCCAUGCCGCGUGAGUGAUGAAGGCCUUAGGGUCGUAAAGCUCUUUCGCCAGGGAUGAUAAUGACAGUACCUGGUAAAGAAACCCCGGCUAACUCCGUGCCAGCAGCCGCGGUAAUACGGAGGGGGUUAGCGUUGUUCGGAAUUACUGGGCGUAAAGCGUACGUAGGCGGAUCAGAAAGUUGGGGGUGAAAUCCCGGGGCUCAACCCCGAACUGCCUCCAAAACUCCUGGUCUAGAGUUCGAGAGAGGUGAGUGGAAUUCCGAGUGUAGAGGUGAAAUUCGUAGAUAUUCGGAGGAACACCAGUGGCGAAGGGGCUCACUGGCUCGAUACUGACGCUGAGGUACGAAAGUGUGGGGAGCAAACAGGAUUAGAUACCCUGGUAGUCCACACCGUAAACGAUGAAUGCCAGUCGUCGGGUAGCAUGCUAUUCGGUGACACACCUAACGGAUUAAGCAUUCCGCCUGGGGAGUACGGUCGCAAGAUUAAAA
rnacentral:rRNA from 1 species